rnacentral:misc_RNA from 1 species
GAUAGCAUCACUACUGAUAUAACAGUUCAGUGCGGUUGGUAGUAAUUCUGCAGUAAUACUUUAUGUGGUUUAUGAUACAUCUUUUUCCUGAAAGCCACUAGGUGCCAUUGGUGGCUUUUGCAUUUAACAAUAUUGCAUUGUACAUAAGAAACAUUAUACUUCAAGGUAAAAUAAGUAAAAUUUCUACCCUUGAAAGUAGGCUUAUCCACAUUACACAUGCAGAUUCCCAUUGUAUCACCAGCUGAA